rnacentral:siRNA from 1 species
UAAUACUCGGACUGGAGCGAUUG